rnacentral:lncRNA from 1 species
UAGUUUUGAUUAAAGUUUUUAAAGUUUGUUUUUGCAAGUUUUCUUUAGGAUUUGUUGUUGUUCACUGUGUGAGUGAGUUAGAAACAUGGAAGAGGAAGAGAGUGUUUGGUGGUGUAUGUUCAAUUUGAGUAAGAGAGAGAUCGAUAUAGCCUAUAACUUUCUUGUUUUGUUUGAGUUUUUAUGUGUGGUGUUUGCAAGUGCAUAGAGUGGAGAAGGAGGUAUAUCCAUUUGUUCUUGUUUUAAAUUUAUUUUUGAUUUUUUAAAAUAAAAAUUGAUGCCAUAUGUCCUUUAUGGAUUGAUUGUUGUUGCUUUUCUAAAAGAAGUGAAAAAAUA